rnacentral:rRNA from 1 species
UAACGCGUGAGGAACCUGCCUCAAAGAGGGGGACAACAGUUGGAAACGACUGCUAAUACCGCAUAAGCCCACAGCUCGGCAUCGAGCAGAGGGAAAAGGUGUGAUCCGCUUUGAGAUGGCCUCGCGUCCGAUUAGCUAGUUGGUGAGGUAAUGGCCCACCAAGGCGACGAUCGGUAGCCGGACUGAGAGGUUGAACGGCCACAUUGGGACUGAGACACGGCCCAG